rnacentral:lncRNA from 1 species
GAUUUUCCCUAAUUAAGUUAUUUAUUUUUAAUUAAAUAAAUAAGUGGUAAUUACCCACUAAGUGCACAUAGUGGUAAUUAUCCAUUAAUCAGAAAAUGGUCUUUAUUCUUUCCCUUAAAUUUAGUAACUGCCCAUUAUGAGUGAGUGGAGGAGCAGUUUUGUUUUGCACGUUCAGUAACUUCUUGAUGGCAGAAGUUAUAUAAAGGAGUGCCGUUCAUUUGUUUUGGUUGCCUAAGCCUAACAUCAGUAUUCAGAAGACUUACACCAUCAAAGUGAGAUUGUGGAAGGUUUAGAAAAGCCUCAACUUCUUCAAGCAGGAGCAAUGGUUGGAGGUAUGCCUUAAUCCUUUAAUUUAAGUUUCCGCUGUUUAAGUAGUUAUUUCUUUUGUUCUUUAUGAAAUAACUUACAUAAACAACCAAAAACUUGACUACAUUUUUUACAAAUUUCAACACAAGUUCUUUCAGGGUAUAUGAUUUGAUUUCUAAACAGAGAUUACAAGAGUGGAUGAAGAUCAAAGAUAAAUUGGUUCUUAGAGAACGCCAUUUGACAGAACGGUUAAUGCUAAAACAUGUGGGGGCAGAAGACAAGAGGUUAUUCCAAGUUUUCCAAUUCAAGUGUCUUCAAGUUCGAGGGAGCCAUUUUAUAUCUUAAUUUGUUUGCACAACAAUUGUGUAUGUCCUGAAAUUUCAUAUCCUAUAAUUUUUUCAAGUUUUUUCCAUUAACAA